GGGGCAGCAUGGUCUUAGCUUGCUAAGACUGAUGGCGACCGGCGCACGGGUGAGUAACACGUAUCCAACCUGCCGUCUACUCUUGGACAGCCUUCUGAAAGGAAGAUUAAUACAAGAUGGCAUCAUGAGUCCGCAUGUUCACAUGAUUAAAGGUAUUCCGGUAGACGAUGGGGAUGCGUUCCAUUAGAUAGUAGGCGGGGUAACGGCCCACCUAGUCUUCGAUGGAUAGGGGUUCUGAGAGGAAGGUCCCCCACAUUGGAACUGAGACACGGUCCAAACUCCUACGGGAGGCAGCAGUGAGGAAUAUUGGUCAAUGGGCGAGAGCCUGAACCAGCCAAGUAGCGUGAAGGAUGACUGCCCUAUGGGUUGUAAACUUCUUUUAUAAAGGAAUAAAGUCGGGUAUGUAUACCCGUUUGCAUGUACUUUAUGAAUAAGGAUCGGCUAACUCCGUGCCAGCAGCCGCGGUAAUACGGAGGAUCCGGGCGUUAUCCGGAUUUAUUGGGUUUAAAGGGAGCGUAGAUGGAUGUUUAAGUCAGUUGUGAAAGUUUGCGGCUCAACCGUAAAAUUGCAGUUGAUACUGGAUAUCUUGAGUGCAGUUGAGGCAGGCGGAAUUCGUGGUGUAGCGGUGAAAUGCUUAGAUAUCACGAAGAACUCCGAUUGCGAAGGCAGCCUGCUAAGCUGCAACUGACAU
rnacentral:rRNA from 1 species